GGAUUAGAUACCAUGGUAGUUCAUGCAGUAAUCGAUGAGUGUUAAGUGUUAGAGUGUAUCCACCCUUUAGUGUUGUAGAUACCACUUUAAGCACUCCCAAUGGGGAGUCCGCUCGCAAGAGUGAAACUCAAAGUAAUUGACGGGGGCCCGCACAAGCGGUGGAGCAUGUGGUUUAAUUCGAAGCAACGCGAAGACCCUUGUCAGGUCUUGACAUCCCCCGACAACCUGAGAGAUCGGGUGUUCCUCCUUCGGGGGGACAGGGUGACAGGUGGUGCAUGGUUGUUUUCAGCUUGUGUCGUGAGAUGUUGGGUUAAGUGCCGCUACGAGCGCAACCCUCGACCUUAGUCGCCAGCAUUCACUUGGGCACUGUUAGGUGACUGCCGGCUAAAAGUGGGAUGAAGGUGGGGAUUCAGUCAAAUCAUCAUGCCCCUUAUGAUCUGGUCUACUCACGUUCUUCAAUGGGCGGUACAAAGGGUUGCGAACCCGCGAGGGGGAGCCAAUCCCAAAAAGCCGCUGUCAGUUUGGAUUGCAGGUUGCAACUCGCCCGCAUGAAUCCGGAAUUGAUAGUAAUCGCGCAUCAGCAUGUCGCGGUGAAUACGUUCCCCGGCCCUGUUCACACCGCCCGUCACCCCACGUGAGUUUGCAA
rnacentral:rRNA from 1 species